rnacentral:lncRNA from 12 species
AUGGAUGAAGAGACUCCAGCUGUCUGCCAACCAGAACCUGGUCGAUCUUUGGCAAAGUGGUUGACAGCUCCUACUUUGAGACAGUUGGGAAGGCUUGGGGAGAAGCACGCUGGGGAAAAGGCUGAAUCCUGGGUCCUGGUGUGGGACACCAAGCGGACUGCUUCUCAACAAACAACACGGAACAAAGACAUUUUACCACCUGUUGGAGGAACUUUUAAAGCAACGAAUGGAGUCACCUUAAAAUGUUAGGUUCACAUUGGGAGACAUGUCCUCAGACUUAAAGGAAAAGGUAGUGCGUGGUUUUGCAAGAAUAAUUGGGGAAUGGCAAUUCAUACUAUAGAGUAACACUGCAUCUUACAUUUUCUUUUUCCAGGACAGUCAACAGAGAAAAAUGUUCUGGUACUUUGGCUAAUGUUUUCUAUCUAUAAAAACUUAAAAAUAACUCUAAGAAUCCCCACAGUUUUGUUCAUUUGAGGAGCUCGCUUUUAUUUUUCCACAUAAAGUAAGGUUCUCAGUGUGGAGUACUGGCUAGUAAAAACUCUUCCAUAUCAUUGGGCUCAAAGUUUUGUUGGCAUUUCCACAUGGGCAGCAGAGAACUUUCAGUUCUGCUUUUCCUCAGAGCUUCGGGGUAUGAGUUGUAUGAGUAAACUUGGCCUUCUCUGCCUUAAUUACUGUUUCUAAUGAGGCUCAAGGUCAGUGGCUUCAGGCUUCCUAUCUAUGCCCAAUUCCAUGAGGGCUACCAUGUUUUGAUCUAUGUUACAUAUUGGGCUUUCAUAAAGGUUUUCUUUUUUCUUUUUUCAAAUCGCUGUAACAUACAUAUAACACUAACUUUACCAUUAGUGACAUUUAUUGCCAUUAGUGACAGUGUUGGAUAAUCAUCAGGAGGAGGACUUUUUAAUCACCCAAAGGGAAAUCCCAUUCCCAUUAAGCAAUUACUUCCCAUCUCCCUUCAGCCCCUAAACCUGAGCAACCACUCCUCUGUUUUGUCUGGAUUUUUUUACUCAAUUUUUAUUUCAUAUAAAUGAAAUUAUACAGUUUGUAGCUUUUUGAGUCUGGCCUUUUUCACAUAUUAUGAUGUUUUUAAGGCUUAUUCAUGUUGUAGUAUGUAUUAGAAUGUCAUUCUUUUUUAUGGCCAAAUAAUAUUCCAUUGUAUGGAUGCGCCUCAUUUUGUGUAUCCACUCAACAGUUGAUGGAUAUUUGUGAUGUUUCCACCUUUUGGCUAUAAUGAACUGUGG